rnacentral:rRNA from 1 species
UGGGGAAUUGUUCACAAUGGGCGCAAGCCUGAUGACGCAAUGCCGCGUGGAGGAUGAAGGUCUUCGGAUUGUAAACUCCUGUUGCCAGGGACGAAUGGCUCCGACCUAAUACGUCGGAGAAUGACGGUACCUGGUGAGGAAGCCCCGGCUAACUCUGUGCCAGCAGCCGCGGUAAUACGGAGGGAGCUAGCGUUGUUCGGAAUUACUGGGCGUAAAGCGAACGUAGGCGGCUAUUCAAGUCAGAGGUGAAAGCCCAGGGCUCAACCUUGGAACUGCCUUUGAAACUAGAUAGCUAGAAUUCUGGAGAGGUCAGUGGAAUUCCGAGUGUAGAGGUGAAAUUCGUAGAUAUUCGGAAGAACACCAGUGGCGAAGGCGACUGACUGGACAGAUAUUGACGCUGAGGUGCGAAAGCGUGGGGAGCAAA